rnacentral:lncRNA from 1 species
AAAGAGAUUGAUGAAAUUGACAAAGGAAAAAUAAAUUGAGAAAUAGAUUAAAUAUUUUUGGAGAUUAGUUAAGAAAUGAGUGAGUAUUUAUAGAGUUUGGAGUGAGUUUUGGGGUUUUGACCGUUGGAUCUUUUUUUUACCUAUAAAAUAGCUUAGAUUUAAUCUAGAUCGUUAAUUUAAAGUUACUAUUAGAAAAAAAAAAUUAAAAAAAGAGAUUCUUCUUUUCCAACAUGUCUUUGAGCUGGAAACAGCCAGCAUGUGGGCCCAAUUGAUACUAUUUGAUUUUAAAAUUUAUAUAAAAAAAAAGGAGACAGCCAAAGCCCAACGGCUCUCUCACCUAGUGCCGACACGUGGCCCAUGGCACAGACAAGCCCAUUAGAGUUGGUCCAAGCGCGGGUCCUAGUGUUUUUCUCAUCUCCAAAUGCUCUGCCACCUCAGCGUGGGAUCCAUUGAAUAGUGUUGGGUCCAGACAAUACUUGGACCCAUAUUUGGGUCCAAUUUUGAGUUUUUCCAAAUUUUGGGUCCUUCAUUUUCUUGGGUUAGGAGAGAUUUUGGGGGAUAUUUUGGGUUUGAGUCCUUGGGUUGGAGAUGGCCUUAUAGAGUACCUUCAUGUAGAAUUUAACUAUUCAAUUUUGAAUAAUUUUCUCUUUAAAGUUUUAGCAUUGCUCCUUCACUUGGCAAUUUGACAUUUCCGUGUGAAGAUGUUCUAAAUUUUAGCAAAACAAAAGGAAAAACAAGAAGAAUUCCAAAGUCAGAAGACCUUUCAUAGCUGCCACAAGUCUUCAGAUAGUGUAGGUAGAGUAGGGUUAUCUUUAAUAUCCUCUUGGACUUUGGAUUUUGGUGGACUUGGUCCCCUUGCUGUAUUUCCAUAAAAUACGUCUGAGACCAGUGCAAGAUUAGAUGCCAAGAUCCCUUCUCAAAACCCAUUAAACCAAACAGGGUUGUGGUAAUUUCUCCUUCAAAUUUAGUAAAUCAAAUCCACUGAGAAUGAAUGCAUCUUUGCUACUUUUGGUGACUAAAUUUAUCGAAUUGGGUAGAUGGUAUUGAAUUGAUACUAAAGUUGCUAAUAAAUACUUUUUCAAUUAUCUUGGUUCUUCUCUUGAAAAUAAACUAAGUUUUGACAUUUUUAAUAAACUUCUUCCCCUUUCAAGCGCAUGCAGAGACAAAGACGGUGCUAGAAUUUAUAUUUUGAGGGGCCAAAACUUCAAGCUCUAAUGAAAACAUAUAACAAGGCAUAUAUUUUAAAACACAAAGAACAAUAAAAGCAACAAAAGAUAGUUUAAUAACCACAACAAACAAGAAAAUAGAGUAAAAUUCAAGAGUUGCGUGCAUAUAUUAGAAGGGCCAUAAGAGUUUCAAGUCUUCAUUAUCUUGGUUCUUCUGUUAUGUUCCCUAAUUUUGACGUUCAUCAUGCCCUCUCCGCUGCUGCCCCCACACCCCCCUCACCCCCCCUUCCUCCUCUCUCUUUUCUCUCUACAAAACAAGCACGCCAAGGUCCAUUUCAUAAUUCAAAGUCGCUAAAAUUUGAACGUAAUAGCUUUUGAAGAAAUAGAAUCCAAAGUCUUCAACAUGUAAAACCCUUUGAUCAAGAAAAUAAAAAAGAAGAAAAAAAGGUCUCCCUUGAAGCCACCACUAGAAUAUAUUUAUUUAUUUAUUAUUAUAUUAUACUUUUAGUUGGGACUGUAAUGAGUUGGUGGCUGUACGGACAAUACAUUCUUUACGCAGCAGCUCAUCUUACGCACUCAAUAAUACAUCAGCAUCAUCGAGCAGCCAGGACUUUUGUAGGAGAAGACGAAGAUGGAAGUGUGAAAAC